rnacentral:tRNA from 1 species
CAACAGAUUGAAAAGCGGCACCAUUUUUUACGUUCGGGACGUAGGGGUCGCAGGUUCGAAUCCUGCUAUUCCGACCA